AGAACACAAUCCAGAUUACACUGCCCACUGCCCGCUAUGACAGUCCUGGUCUCUGCAAGCAACUGCACCUGGGAACUUAAUGUAUGUCCUGCCGUGGUCUCUGCUAUCACCCCCAGCCUGAAGGUUCCAGACACUAUGUUGAACACUUUAUCAGCAUUUAUAUAAUCCUGUUAAGAACACUAAGUGGGAACUCCGCUCCACCAAGUCUCCGGUCUAAGGAAAAGAGAUCUGAUAAUUACUUAGAUUGUGUUGUCACUACCAGGUACACUUGAAUUUUUUAAAAAGAGGACCACCACAGUCACCCUAAGGAAAUCGUGUAACACACUAUCUAGAAAAUCGUAAGUUCUCAUUGAACAUUAAUUCUCCUCUUAAAUUCUAGAAACUAAGAAAAAUAGUGCAUUUGUGGACUGAAGUACGUCACACUGGUAAUCUAGUCUUCAAUAUA